GCCAGGUGUGGUGGUGCAUGCCUGUAAUCCCAGCUACUCAGGAGGCUGAGGCAGGAGAAUUGCUUGAACCUGGGAGGCAGAGAUUGCAGUGAGCCAAGAUCGUGCCACUGCACUCCAGCCUGGGUGACAGAGCGAGAUUCUGUCUCAA
rnacentral:SRP_RNA from 1 species